CAAAGAGAAAUUUAGAACAAGGGACG
rnacentral:piRNA from 1 species